rnacentral:lncRNA from 1 species
GCGUAAUAGUCACUCGAGAUUGGAAUUCCUGGUUCUUGAAGGACAUUGUUGUAUGUAUGUAUGUAUGAAGAGUUGAGAUGAUGCGCAGGUGUUGAGGUAGCAAGAUGACGUUUGACUCCUAAUCGAGGUUAUCGCCGAUUUGAGUUGAAAGCAGACGUUGUUCAGGGCUACAACUGAGAUUGGACUGCUGCAAAUGUUGAAUGUCGCAAUGUCAUCUUGUGGAUGCCUGUCUGCCUGGUGUUAGCUCCGGGUCUGAGGUAUGAGUGCCUCGGCAGGAGGUCUGAGCUUGAAGCUGAUAGCAUACAUUUGAAACAAGCAUUUCCGGGGUUAUCGCCGGAACUGCAACAACAUUCCUUGAGGUUAUUGCCAAGGACGAAACUCGGGGUUAUCUCUGAGGUUAGAAAUGAUGUUCUCGGUAUGUGUUCCGGGGUUGAGACUGAUACUCCCGGUGUAUGGUCCGGGGUUGAGAUUGAACUUCCGGUAGUAUCCGGAAUGGAUGUGAACUGUCUUCUAGGGUUAUCUCCGAAAGAUGAUUCUGCCCUCCUGCAAUGUUAGUAACAGUUGUGUAGAAAAUUUUUAGUGUCUACAAAGGCCCCUCUUUAUCAUAUUCAUGCAAUGCAAGGCAUGGAUAGGAUAAAGAAUCCUAGACACUUUAAAUGCAACAAGAUAAACAUGAUGUUAUGUGCAGCAACAUGAUGCAAAUGUAUGAUGCAUGAUUGUCAGUUAAUCAUGUUGGGAUGACAAUCAGUGAUGUCUUGGACAUGCGAUCCAAGUCUUCAAGGAUGUUGACAUUGGGGCUAUCACCAAAGUCGUGAAUCCUAGACACAGACUUCAUUCUCUAUAGAAGUACCUCUUGUGUAUACGAGAUCUGUGGGGAUAAAGCUUUGUCUAUUUGAGGAUGUGUAUAACGUAUCCCACCAUCCUGUUGGAGUUACUGCCAACAGUAUGAACUUGUCAGGGUUGCCUGACCUUCGUAGAUGUGUGUAUCACCGUAUAAAUCCCUGAUGGGUGCAUUGUCAAGGCUGCUUGACGUUCAUUGAUGUGUGUAUCAAUGAUUGCAUUGCGUUGUAACCCCCGCUGGGGAUACGUGGAUGUUUGAAAAUGUUGUGUUGUGACCCCCACCGGGGAAUAUGUCA